rnacentral:rRNA from 1 species
AGUAAAAGUCGUAACAAGGUUUCCGUAGGUGAACCUGCGGAAGGAUCAUUACAAAUGUCUGGGAUGUCCUAUCGGACCCCCAAGCAAACACAUCUAUGUGUACUCUGCCAUGUUGCUUCCCCAGACCAGUGGCCACUGCUGCCAGCCCAGUCCCUAAUGGGUUCCUGGGUUGAGGUGUCUGGGGAAGGGCUCAAUAUCAAACUUUUCAACCCACUAGUCGUCUGAGAAGGCCAUGUGCCGCAAUAUUUAAACAAGUUAAAACUUUCAACAACGGAUCUCUUGGCUCUCGCAUCGAUGAAGAACGCAGCGAAAUGCGAUAAGUAAUGUGAAUUGCAGAAUUCAGUGAAUCAUCGAAUCUUUGAACGCACAUUGCGCCCUUUGGUAUUCCUUAGGGCAUGCCUGUUCGAGCGUCACUAAAAACCGACUCACAUAUCAUGUGGUAUUGGUAGAAGCGGAUAGUAAUAACACAAGCAUAUCAAUAUGCGGAGGAGCAUAUCAAUAAGCGAAGGAGCAUAUCAAUAAGCGUCGGAGCAUAUCAAUAAGCGGAGGAGCAUAUCAAUAAGCGGAGGAGCAUAUCAAUAAGCGGAGGAGCAUAUCAAUAAGCGGAGGA